CCUCCACGGCACUGAGUUUGAGACCACUGCCCUAGGAUGUUCGCCUUGAUGUUUGUGGAGUGAGGAUGAUGGAUACAGAAUAAACAGAUACAUUCCUGUGGUCACACAUUAUAUUGUUUGUUUGUCAAAGGUGAUAAUCUGAAAGCUACAUAUCCAGCAAUAAAUAAAUAUAUACAUCUUAUUAUAUGAUAGUAACAUUUGGUCUGCCAGAAAGGCUGAUUGGUCUCGGCUGCGCCGGCUGGUGGAGAGAGCACACGCACCUGGGUUGCAUUGGAUAAUCAGCCCAGGUAUUUAAAGGUUUGCUGCUCUCCACAGUUCCAGGCUGAGAUCGGGCGCUGACACAGAGAGCGUGUUUAUGAUUUUUGGCUCAUUUUAUUUUUGGCAUUGUGUUCGGGAAAAUGAAGAGAAAGAAAGUAACCCUCCCACCCUGGGAUGCUGGGGGAGCUGGACCAGGCCAGGAAGGAAACAAUGGGGAUCUUCACUGAUUUAAGCUUCUCCAGCUGGUCUCCAUCAAGCUCCUAUCUGUGAUUCCCGGCUGGCGUUCCCUCAAGGAUUUUCAACUGUAGGCUGAAAUCCAGCCGCAUGUUCGGCAGUUCAAAUAAGCAAACCCGGGGAUUAGGAGUCUCUGUGUGAACCAGAGUUUUAAAAUAAACGCAAAAGUG